UGUGGCCAUAUCACAUUGAAACACUAAUCUCGUAUGAUCACCAAAGUUAAGCACCAUCAAGCCUGGUCAGUAUCAAGAUGGGUGAAUCCUGGGGAAUACCAGGUGUU